GGGGGGGGGGGGGGGGGGGCGGGAGAGGGGCGGGUCGAGCGGAGGGGGCCGGCUUUUGUGGGGUGCUCGAGUGGCGAACGGGUGAGUAACACGUGAGUAACCUGCCCUGGACUUUGGGAUAACUUCAGGAAACUGGGGCUAAUACCGGAUAGGAGCUCCUGCUGCAUGGUGGGGGUUGGAAAGUUUCGGCGGUUGGGGAUGGACUCGCGGCUUAUCAGCUUGUUGGUGGGGUAGUGGCUUACCAAGGCUUUGACGGGUAGCCGGCCUGAGAGGGUGACCGGCCACAUUGGGACUGAGAUACGGCCCAGACUCCUACGGGAGGCAGCAGUGGGGAAUAUUGCACAAUGGGCGGAAGCCUGAUGCAGCAACGCCGCGUGCGGGAUGACGGCCUUCGGGUUGUAAACCGCUUUCGCCUGUGACGAAGCGUGAGUGACGGUAAUGGGUAAAGAAGCACCGGCUAACUACGUG
rnacentral:rRNA from 1 species